UACGAAGGAUCUAAGCGUUAUCCGGAUUCAUUGGGUUUAAAGGGUGCGUAGGUGGAAUGAUAAGUCAGUGGUGAAAGCCUGCAGCUUAACUGCAGAACUGCCAUUGAUACUGUUGUUCUUGAAUACAUUUGAUGUGGGCGGAAUAUGACAUGUAGCGGUGAAAUGCUUAGAUAUGUCAUAGAACACCGAUUGCGAAGGCAGCUCACAAAACUGUUACUGACACUGAGGCACGAAAGCGUGGGGAGCAAAC
rnacentral:rRNA from 1 species